rnacentral:rRNA from 1 species
ACGAACGCUGGCGGCGUGCUUAACACAUGCAAGUCGAACGAUGAAGCAGGGCUUGCUCUGCGGAUUAGUGGCGAACGGGUGAGGAACACGUGAGAAACCUGCCCCAGACUCUGGGAUAACAAUUAGAAAUGAUUGCUAAUACCGGAUGACGUCGGAGAAUCGCAUGAUUCACUGACGAAAGGAAAUCCGGUUUGGGAGGGUCUCGCGACCUAUCAGCUUGUUGGCGGGGUAAUGGCCCACCAAGGCAUCGACGGGUAGCUGGUCUGAGAGGAUGAUCAGCCACACUGGGACUGAGACACGGCCCAGACUCCUACGGGAGGCAGCAGUGGGGAAUCUUGCGCAAUGGGCGAAAGCCUGACGCAGCAACGCCGCGUGCGGGAUGAAGGCCUUCGGGCUGUAAACCGCUUUCAGCAGGAACGAAAAUGACGGUACCUGCAGAAGAAGGAGCGGCCAACUACGU